rnacentral:tRNA from 1 species
CAGAAAAUAGUUUUAUUUAAAAUUUUAAUUUUGGAGAUUAAAGAAAGGUUUUUAUCUUUUUCUGA